CAGAGGAUGAAAAGAAAAGGAUCCAGAUAUCCAUCAUCCAGCAGCUCUGACGCAGUGUUUGGAGAUGGAGCAGACAACUUGUGACAAAGAAGACAAAUGCUUCGAUCUCAGGAUGCUAGAGAAGGAAGAUACAAAGACGAGGCCCGCUCUGGUGUCAUUAAACUGUCCUCCUAGCUCUCUCCUUCUAUAAGAGAGAUGAGCUAGAAAGGUGGGCUACAGCCUUCUGUUACCCUCUGCCAAACAUAACCCUGAAAUCUGUGGCACAUCUUUGCAUUUUAUCCCCCCAAACCCUUGUGCACAAGAGCCCCUGUGCCUUGUGCUGUCUUUCCCUCUUACUGAGGAAUGCACUAUGUGAAUAUUUUAAAUGUAGGCUAAAAGGGAAGACACUGAGAAGUUGGAGCACACUUUCUAAACUGCCACUUCCUGUCCCCACCCUAACCGAAUUUUUGUCUUUCCGUCCUGAGGUUCUGUCUCCUUUUUGCAAUUUUUGCAAUGAAAUCCUGAGAUUGAAACCUGGUGUAUGCUACUUCCCCCUACCAUGAACUUCCUGCAUCUUUGGGCAUCCCGCUCUGAACUUCUGGGUUUGCACCUACAACACAACCUGCUCAUCUUCACAUACAGACUUUGGGAGACAGAUGUGACGGCAUCAAGUGUGAGGGCUACUCUCAACCUCGAUCAGACAAGCUCCUAUUUGUAGUGGGCAGGACUUGAUGAAGAAUUUUGCAACUGAUCAAAGUGCUGAGAAGAGGGCCUCUGAGAUGGCUCAGUGAGGAAAGACACUUGCUACCAAGCCUGAAAACCCGAUUUCAACUCCUGGGACUUACAUAAGACUAACUCCUACAGGUUGUGUUCUGACUUUCACACAUGCAGUGUAAAGUACACACACACACACACACACAGAGAGAGAGAGAGAGAGAGAGAGAGAGAGAGAUGGAUUCUAGGAAUAAGUAACUGCUUAGUCUCAGCCCUACACAGAACAUCUAUAUAACUCCUUCUAAGGCCCACACACAUAACAGAAGAAAAGGCAGAAAGAAUGUAAGAGCUGGAAAAUGGAAGGAGUGAUGUGAAUCUGUUUUCUGGCUACAACUUUGCUAUACUCGUGAACUUAUAGCAGCAGUGGUUAGCUGUGUAAGAUUAGGCCUGUCAUAAAUGAUUUAGGAAAAACUUAUACAUGAUAAGCUGUCAAUAGUUGCUGGGGGAGAGGGAGUCAUAAUCCUCAGCGGUACAGUCAUUGGUAACAGAAUAGUUGGUGUUCCAUUGGCACAGUCCCCUGGUCUAGUUAACGACCCCCUCCCACCCACACUCAUGCAAACAAUCCUCAUACAGUAGACAUGCGUGUGCGCGCGCGCACACACACACACACACGCACACACGCACACACACACACACACACACACAAAAGACAAGAAGGUAGGAGAGGUACUUUUUGGAGAGAAGAAAGAAUUUAGCAAAAGGGGACAUGAAGAGGAGAGGAUGAUGAGAGAGUAUAACCAAAGCACUAUAGAUGUUUGUAUGUCUGUAAAGGGACAAAUAAAUUAAAAACAAAAGAAAGAAGUAAAAAUAGGGUUAAAACUACGGAUCAACGGUAGUGGCCCUGGGUUCAAUUUCCACUACAAGAAAGCAAAUAGAUAAAGUCUCGCAGAAAUCUUAUGAGCUGGCUACCAUCAGAGGAAACAGAAGCAUCGUAAUUUAAUGACUUGCCCAAAGAGACUCAGCUGGGAUUUGGGACCAGAGCAUCUGAAUCCCGAGUCUAUAUAUCAUGGCCUCAAUUUCAUGCUCUAACCCUCCCAGCUGUUGUGAGGUGGUGUGUAGGGAGGAGAACAGUUGCCUUGAAUGACUCAAAGAAGAGCCUCUGCCUGGUCCAAAGAAUGCUGCCCUGUAGAAGGCUUCAAAGGAAAACAGUUUCACACUCCCAUUUCCGCUCUUUGUAGCUGCUGUUCCUACAUGCAUUUCUUCUGGAUUCUGGCCCCAUUUAGGCUUUUUACCUUUUGAUGUUUCCUAGUGGAGGAAGAGGAGAGGAUAUUAUUAUUUGGUUUGUUUUGGUUUGUUUUGUUUUGGUUUCAUUUAUUUCUUUUACUUUAUUUAUUCACUUUACAUCCUUAUCACAGCCCCUCCCUCCUCUCCUCCAGGUCUUGCCCUCCUACCCUCUGCCCCCUUUACUCCCUCUCUUUCUCCUCAGAAACGAGGAGCUGUGUGUUCCCCCCCACCCAGCCACCAACCUGCUGUGGCACAUCAAGUCACAUCAGGACUAAGAGCAUCCUCUUCCACUGAGGCUGGACAAGGCAGUCCAGCUAGGGGAAAGUGAUCCAAAAGCAGGCAACAGAGUCCAUAUCAGAGACAGCCCCCUCUGUAAUUGCUAGGGGACCCACAUGAAGACCAAGCUGCUCAUCAACUACAUACGUGUAGGGGCCUAGGUCUAGUCAAUGCACGCUCUUUGGUUGGUGGUUCAGUCUCUGUGAGCCUCUGGUCCUCAGUUACUUGACUCUCUUGGUCUUCUUGUGGCAUUCUUGUCCCUUCCAGGUCCCUCUAUUCUUCCCCCAACUCUUCCACAGGGCUCCCCAUGCUCUGCUUAAUGUUUGGCUGUUGGUCUCUGCCUUUGUUUUGAUACGCUGCUAGGUGAAGCCUCUCAGAGGACAGUUAUGCUGGUUUCCUGUCUGUAAGCAUAGUGGAAUAUUCUUAACAGUGACAGGGGUUGGCUCGCUCCCAUUGGGUGGGUCUCAGCAAACCUUGUUGGCAGGGUAAAUUCUGUGUCGAAGGUUUUGUGGGUGGCUUGGUGUGCCCCUCCCUCCACUAGAAGUCCUGCCUGGCUAUAGCAGGUAGCCACUUUCAGCCUCCAUAGUCCGUACUGCCAGGAGUCUUAGUUAGAGUCACCCCAUAUCCUGGGGUGAGGAUACAAUCACCUCUAUUACAGAGUCCAUGACCAAAACUAGACCCUUUUAAAACCAUUUUUCCCUGAGAAAUCAGAGAGGAGGGAAAGACUCAGGUACUUAGAAGAUUGCCUUUAUUUAUUUUUUUUUUAAGUUCAGUUAUUUUAUUUUUCUAGAACUGACAAUGACAAGUGUGGAGUCACCUAUCCACAUAACCUUCUGUAGUAAAGAGAGAGGCUUCAUGAACGGUAAAGAGAAGAUAGACCCAUUUCAUUGGCCCUUGGUACCUCAACUUAGCAAAGAGGGGCAUCAAGGAAGGGGUGCCAGAAACCAACCUCAGAAAAUAGGCCUGCUGUGUUAGUGAGGCUGCCCCAUGAAAAGAAUGAGACCUCCAAUAAGGUCACUACCGCAGUCACUGUGUUGAUGCCUUAUCUUGAUGCUACCAUGACAUACCCGACCACAGCAGCUAAAGGAAAGAAGGGCUUACGUUGGCUCACAGCUUGGGGAUAUAGUCCAUGACGGUGUGUGAAUGUGGGAGGGGGCAUCUUGGGGCUUGAUCCUGAGGCAUCCAGUCACACUGAACCUUCAGCCAAGAAGCAGAGCAUGUUAAACACUUUCCUACAGCUUGCUUUCUCGUUUCCAUUCUCAGUCCCAGAGUCCAAUCUAUGAAAUGGCACCAUCCACAUUUGGGAUGAGUCUUUCCACCUCUAUGUACUCUAGACAUGGCCAAAGACUUGUUUCCGUGGUGAUUCUAAACACCGUCAAGUUAACAAACAAGAUGGAUAAUGUUAGUCACCAUUUUGGGGAAGGUUCUUGGCCUUGGGAGGUUCUGAUGGCUUCUGAUCCCAGCCCUCCUCAGAUUGUAUAGCAGCUCAUUUGUCUUCUAGUUUGCACCCUUCCCAGGCACUGCUCCGAGCUGUAUUAGUAAAAAUUUGGGCAUCAAGCAACAGAAACCAACUUGGAUUAGUUUAAUAAGGAGAAUGGCUGUUUAGAAAGGGACUAGACCACUUUCAGAAUCAAUGAGAAGGAUUAACAAGCUCCAUGUGGAAACUGAAGCUGGCAGAGGCCAACCUAGCUCAUACCACAAGAAAUCUGUAAGAUGUUCUUAUAGCCCCCAUUGCCUGCUGCCACACUGGCCUCUUUAUGGGGGGACCCUUGCCACCUCUAUUACCUCUCACUUCCAAGACUGCUGCAAUGAAUAACCCUCUGAUGUACCCAUGAAGCUUUCUGUGACAUCUCUAGAUCUGAAGUCCUAGGCAGGCACAACAACUGACUAUACUUCCAUCCCCAUUAAUCUGUGAGGACUAAAGAAAAGGAUGCUCUAUGCCAACUCACUUCCAUAGGUCCUAGAAAGGGCUUCUAUACUUCUCCAUCAUCAUUUCUCACAAAACAGAAAGGCGGCUGCAAAUGCAGCGCAAACAGGAAGUCCUCCCCUACUGUAGAUGCCACUGAAGGGGAGGUAAAAAUUGCUUUGUUUAAUGGAGAUAGACAGUUCAGGUCUCUCCUGUGGCUUCUCCACGGCACGGGAAUGCAUCUCAUUUUCAGCUGAGCCAUUUUAAAAAUAGCCUUUGUCACACGCAGUCAAAAUAACUGCCUUAUUUCCAUCUACCCACCUGUGAUCAUGGGCACUCCCAGUGCCACUGUUCUCCCAAGGGAUAUUGGGGAAUCUGUGGAGUGCAGUUGCACCUCUUGUCUAGGGUUUUGCUUUCUGAAGUCUCAGUUACCUGAGUUCAACCAUGAUCUGAAAACAUUUAAUGGGAACUUCUAGAAAAAAAAUUUCAUAAGUUUUACAUUCUGUUCCCUCCAAAGUAAUAUGACAAGAAGCUCCUCUGUCCUCCUUGCCUUGCUUAGCAUAAGAAUUGUCCCUUUGUCCAGCACCCACCCUCUAUAUAUUACCCACCUAUCACUUAGUAUGAGUCUAAGAUAUUAGGUCUAAUGUCACAUUACCAUAGUGCUUAUAUUAAGUAACCCUUAUUUUACUUAAUGAUGGCCUAGGAAUGCAAACAUAACAGUACUGGCCAAUCUUCCAUGGUGUAUUACCACAAUUGUUCUUUUUAUUGUUAGUUAUUGUUAUUAAUCUCUUGCCCUUCCUGAUUUAUGAAUUAAACUUGAUCAAAAGA